rnacentral:rRNA from 1 species
UACGGAGGGGACUAGCGUUGUUCGGAAUUACUGGGCGUAAAGCGCACGUAGGCGGAUUUGUAAGUCGGGGGUGAAAGCCCGAGGCUCAACCUCGGAACUGCCUUCGAUACUGCGGGUCUCGAGUCCGGGAGAGGUGAGUGGAAUUCCUAGUGUAGAGGUGAAAUUCGUAGAUAUUAGGAAGAACACCAGUGGCGAAGGCGGCUCACUGGCUCGGUACUGACGCUGAGGCGCGAAAGCGUGGGGAGCAAACAGG